rnacentral:lncRNA from 1 species
UCGUCGUCGCCGGACAUGAAGAAGUUUCGCGACAAAGGCUCCGGGAAGGCCGGUAAGUUCAGAUCAAACGAUUCACGGUGUUGUUGGCUGACGGUGUGAGUGGUUGACCCCACUCCCUCCGAGGUGGUCACGGCGCUGGUGGUGGUGGUUGCGGCGGACUUGGUGGCGGUGACGCCGCCCUCGUAGUGGCAACGCUUGUGCCCUCCCAAGGCCUGGCCGGUGGGGAAAGACUUGUGGCAGAUGGAGCACUCGUGGGACCUACCUGAGGCGUUUGAGACAGUCGCAGCGGAUGUGGUGGUGGUAGUCGACGACGUGGAGGGUCCUUCACCGCCGGUGACGGCGGAAGACCCUUUCCUGUGGCUGGCCUUGUGUCCACCCAGAGCCUGGUAGG